UAUGAGACACUCUGGAGGGACCAAGACAUGAUCUGAAGUAAAACUUACUCUCUGCAUAUCUGGAGUUAGCUUCCAGUGAGCGCUGAAGAUUAUUCAGCUGUUCUUGAGAGAAGCUUCAUUGCUAGGUUUCAAUAGAAAUCAAAGGUUCCAGACAUGGAACUCUGCAUGGUUUACCUAAAUUCUGUUCUGCUUAAUGCAAUUAGAACUAGACAGUAUUGUAGAACUCAGUUGUCGAGGUCGCUAUUAGAUCUUGUGUUUUAUGAUGCCCUUCCAUUAAACAUGCACACGAUUUAUUUCAAAUAGCUUCAAGGCAUUCUGUGAAUGUACAGUUGUAAACAUUGAGUGUGUGAUCAUGGCACCCUUCAUCAUUAACAGAUUUCCCUUAAAUGGUUAUUCUCAGCAUUUCCCUAAAGCUGAAUAGAUAAUUUUUAUGCCAUGGACAGAUUCCCUUCUGUUUCAUCUAAGUUACAGACAACGGGUUUUUCAGUAUUUGUGGGUGCUCAUUGAUUCAUCCAGCAAAUAGUUACUGCC
rnacentral:lncRNA from 1 species